AUCGCUUCUCGGCCUUUUGGCUAAGAUCAAGUGUAGUAUCUAAUAUAAAUAGCAUCUGUGCAUCUCAACUGAGCAGGUGUCUUUAUAGGUAUUUUCACAUUAAAUUAUGUAAACCUGCUACUGUCAAAAAUUAUAUAAGCUAUGUAAGUGGCCUCACAUUGUUUAAAUAUUGGCAUUUCAUUUAUCAAAACAUUCCAAAA